AUAUAAAUUAGAUAUAAGAAACUACGUACGUACAUACAUACCCUUGAAAACAAAGGCGGCCGGCCUGUGACUGUGAGAAUAUAUGGAGAUGAGCCUCGUCAUCAAAUAUAUUACAAAGUUGAAGAUCAAAUUGCUAAGGCUUUCUAGUAGGCGGAAUGAUCAAGAAAAGUCAGCUUCGCCUCCUCGUGCUAUUCACUGCGAGGAGCUCUUCUUGCCACCAGAAGGGAAAAAGGACCAUUUCUCGACGACGUCUGACAACGACAUGGAUCCCUUCAUCCUUGCUCAUAUUGCUGCCCAGAAUCACUUCAGACUCAGGCCAAACAUCUACCUUUGAGAGAGAGAGAGAGAGAGACCAGUACUAUACGUUGCUGGUUAUCUCCUGAAACAAUAUUUGGCAGAGAAUUUGGUUUUUUACUGCUCUUGAUGCGGUAGAUCGAUGCAUAUGAUCUUCGAAGAGUUUUUUCUUUUAUUUUUUGGUAAUUCUCUCCCUCUGAUCUUAGCGCACAUAUCAUCAAAUAGUAGCAUCUGAAGCAUGCUCAACCUACCCAAAAAAAAUAAUGUUGCAUGUAAGAAGUGAAAACCUUUUUACUUUUCUUUUUUCUUUUUUUCUUUUUUUUUCUAGCUAGGGCAUCCCAGAUUCCCAAUGCUAAUGAUCACGAUGGGGCUACGCAUAUAAAGUCGAUGAUCAACUAUUUGAGUUUACGUACUA